AAAGGGUACACUGAUAAGAAUCUUUGAUACAUCUUCUGGGAAUUUGUUGAAUGAAUUAAGAAGAGGAGCUAACCAAGCAAAUAUAUACUGCAUAAAUUUCAACUUUGAUUCUUCUCUCAUCUGUGUAUCAAGUGAUCAUGGAACAGUUCAUAUUUUUGCUGUAGAAGAUAGUAAGAGGAACAAACAGUCAAGCUUAGCAUCUGCAUCAUUUUUGCCCAAAUAUUUUAGCUCUGUUUGGAGUUUUUCACGUUUCCAAGUGCCUGGAGGGUCACACUGUAUUUGUGCGUUUGGAACUGAGCCUAACUCUGUUAUAGGUAUUAAACUUAUUCUUUUUCACAUAUUUUGUAAAUAUAAAAGAAUCAUAUUUGAUAAGCUUUAAAUUGCUAUUGCCAUGACUAAUUGGACCAAAUUAAUUAAUAUUUCACAAAUAAAUCUGUCUGUAAUUAAUGUGUGGUUGUCCACCUAAUUGCUUUCAUUUUAGUUAAGUAUUCAUGGCAAAAUUCACAUUCUUUUCCUGCUAAAUUAUUAACAAUAUUUUAAAAUGCAAUUGUUUAGUUUGAUGUAUUUUUGCUUAAAAUCAUCAAUGAAAACAUAUUAUCCAGUUAUAUGUAUAUACAGUAGAACCCUGCUAUAAUGAACCUUUCAGGCGUAUCCAGUUUUCUCUACAUGUAAUAUCGAGUUUUAACUAAUGUUUCCUGCCACCGCAAAUAUCAUCUGCACAGACAGUUCACAUUGGCGUGUUUAAUCAUAUUUUGUUAAACAAUUUUUGGCAUUUGAAAGAGAGAGACUUGCUUUAAAAUACUGUGUUGUGAAGUUUGUAAAAAAAUAUCUUUAUCAUUAAGUACAAGGUGUCUGAAAUGGAAAUAUUGCGCUACCAGAUUAGAACCGUCAUUUACCUCCGGUUCUGUAAAAAAAAGUCAGCUACAGAAUGUCAUCAAAUCAUGUGUGCAGCUUUAGG